AUUUAUAUAGUAUAAAUAUUACUUUUAACUUCCAAUUAAAAAAUCUAAUAAAUUUUAGUAUAAAUA
rnacentral:tRNA from 1 species